rnacentral:rRNA from 1 species
AAACCAACAGGGAUUGCCCUAGUAACGGCGAGUGAAGCGGCAACAGCUCAAAUUUGAAAUCUGGCUCUUUCAGAGUCCGAGUUGUAAUUUGCAGAGGGCGCUUUGGUGUUGGCAGCGGUCCAAGUUCCUUGGAACAGGACGUCACAGAGGGUGAGAAUCCCGUACGUGGUCGCUAGCCUUCGCCGUGUAAAGCCCCUUCGACGAGUCGAGUUGUUUGGGAAUGCAGCUCUAAAUGGGAGGUAAAUUUCUUCUAAAGCUAAAUACUGGCCAGAGACCGAUAGCGCACAAGUAGAGUGAUCGAAAGAUGAAAAGCACUUUGGAAAGAGAGUCAAAUAGCACGUGAAAUUGUUGAAAGGGAAGCGCUUGCAGCCAGACUUGCCUGUAGUUGCUUAUCCGGACUUUUGUCCGGUGCACUCUUCUGCGGGCAGGCCAGCAUCAGUUUGGGCGGUUGGAUAAAGGUCUCUGUCAUGUACCUCUCUUCGGGGAGAACUUAUAGGGAGACGACAUGCCACCAGCCUGGACUGAGGUCCGCGCAUCUGCUAGGAUGCUGGCGUAAUGGCUGUAAGCGGC